rnacentral:rRNA from 1 species
CAGUCGAACGGGAAACAUUUUAUUGAAGCCUCGGCAGAUUUAGCUUGUUUCUACUGUUGAACGGGUGAGUAACGCGUGGGUAACCUGCCUUAUACUGCCUUAUAACAGCCAGAAAUGACUGCUAAUACCGCAUAAGCGCACAGAACCGCAUGGUUCGGUGUGAAAAACUCCGGUGGUAUAAGAUGGACCCGCGUUGGAUUAGCUAGUUGGCAGGGCAGCGGCCUACCAAGGCGACGAUCCAUAGCCGGCCUGAGAGGGUGAACGGCCACAUUGGGACUGAGACACGGCCCAGACUCCUACGGGAGGCAGCAGUGGGGAAUAUUGCACAAUGGGGGAAACCCUGAUGCAGCGACGCCGCGUGAAGGAAGAAGUAUCUCGGUAUGUAAACUUCUAUCAGCAGGGAAGAUAAUGACGGUACCUGAUUAAGAAGCCCCGGCUAACUACGUGCCAGCAGCCGCGGUAAUACGUAGGGGGCAAGCGUUAUCCGGAUUUACUGGGUGUAAAGGGAGCGUAGACGGCGCAGCAAGUCUGAUGUGAAAGGCAGGGGCUUAACCCCUGGACUGCAUUGGAAACUGCUGUGCUUGAGUGCCGGAGGGGUAAGCGGAAUUCCUAGUGUAGCGGUGAAAUGCGUAGAUAUUAGGAGGAACACCAGUGGCGAAGGCGGCUUACUGGACGGU